CCUACGGGAGGCAGCAGUGAGGAAUAUUGGUCAAUGGACGAGAGUCUGAACCAGCCAAGUAGCGUGAAGGAUGACUGCCCUAUGGGUUGUAAACUUCUUUUAUAGAGGAAUAAAACGAGGCACGUGUGCCUUUUUGCAUGUACUUUAUGAAUAAGGAUCGGCUAACUCCGUGCCAGCAGCCGCGGUAAUACGGAGGAUCCGAGCGUUAUCCGGAUUUAUUGGGUUUAAAGGGAGCGUAGAUGGGUUGUUAAGUCAGUUGUGAAAGUUUGCGGCUUAACCGUAAAAUUGCAAUUGAUACUGGCAUUCUUGAGUACAGUUGAGGUAGGCGGAAUGCGUGGUGUAGCGGUGAAAUGCUUAGAUAUCACGAAGAACCCCGAUUGCGAAGGCAGCUUACUAAACUGUGACUGACAUUGAUGCUCGAAAGUGUGGGUAUCAAACAGGAUUAGAUACCCCUGUAGUC
rnacentral:rRNA from 1 species